rnacentral:rRNA from 1 species
CACGUAGGGGGCGAGCGUUGUCCGGAAUUACUGGGCGUAAAGGGCGCGCAGGCUGUUAUGCGAGUCUGCUGUGAAAUGUACCGGCUCAACCGGUGCCUUGCGGCGGAUACUGCAUAGCUGGAGUACUGGAGAGGGAAGUGGAAUUCCCAGUGUAGCGGUGAAAUGCGUAGAUAUCGGGAGGAACACCGGUGGCGAAGGCGGCUUUCUGGCCAGUUACUGACGCUCAUGCGCGAAAGCUGGGGUAGCGAACCGGAUUAGAUACCCCCGUA